rnacentral:rRNA from 1 species
UGAUCCAGAGUACCACGGACCACGUGAAACCAUGUGGGAAGCAGGAGCGACCACCCUCCGCGGCUAAAUACAACCUACUGACCGAUAGCGUAAAGUACCGUGAGGUUAUGGUGCAAAGAACACCGGUAGGGGAGGGAAAUAGAACCUGAAAUCCUGCACUUUCAUGCUGUGAUAGCACAUUUCAAGUGUCACGUCGUACUUUUUGUAGAACGGGCCAACGAGUUACGUUAAGUAGCAAGGUGAAGCACUGAAGUUGCGGGGCCGUAGCGAAAGCGAGUUUUAACUGAGCGUUCAGUUACUUGACGUAGACCCGAAACCGGGCGACCUACCCAUGAGCAGGAUGAAGCGAAAGUAAAAUGUCGUGGAGGUCCGAACCCACGAGCGUUGAAAAGCUCGGGGAUGACUUGUGGGUAGCGGUGAAAUUCCAAUCGAGCCCGGAGAUAGCUGGUUCUCCCCGAAAUAGCUUUAGGGCUAGCCUCAAGGUGAGAGAUACGGAGGUAGAGCACUGAAUGUCCUAGGGGGUAUUGCACCUACCGAAGACUAUCAAACUCCGAAUGCCGUCAUCUUAUACUUGGGAGUCAGACUGUGGGUGAUAAGAUUCAUAGUCGAAAGGGCAACAGCCCAGAUCGUCAGCUAAGGUCCCUAAAUGUAAGUUAAGUGGUAAAGGAUGUGGGAUUGCACAGACAACCAGGAUGUUGGCUUAGAAGCAGCCACUCAUUCAAAGAGUGCGUAAUAGCUCACUGGUCGAGUGAUCCUGCGCCGAAGAUUUCCGGGGCUAAAACUUAC